CAGGGCACUGAAACAAGUGAAGCACAGUGGAGAGCAGCCCUCCAUGAUAUUAUCAAUUAGCUACACCUGUGGAUUACAAGUCAAAAUGUCUGCCAUGAAAAGACCAUCAUGAAUAAACUGAACUUGGACGGUCAGGGCCUGCAGCUGGUUGGGAGACAGAAGGUGCUGCAUCUGCUGAGGAGCCAUCAUAGCCAGAAACACCUUCAAGGAGAGGAGGAAGGAUACAGUGACAAAGGCCCACCGUCCAAAGCAUGAAGGCAGGAGCAUUAGCAGAGACGAGGAUGGAAGAAGAGGUGAAUGAAGAUACCUGUUUAUGGUGGAGACUCUGCCAGUUUUCAGCACUCACUCCACUGCAGGAGUCCCCAUUAGCUGCUCCCUCGCCUGCACCGUUGUCUGUGUGACUGAGGAGGCUGCUGGCUGGAGUUUGACGGGCUGCUGUGGGACUGAGAGGAGACUCAGGCAUCCCAGCUCAAGUCCUACAAGAAAGGAGUCGACACUAAAUAACCACUACAUACCGUUGAGAUGAAGAGUGGAAUUCAGAGCAGCCAGGCAGAGUUGAUGUCUCCAAGUCAUGCAGUUUGGAGUGAGGAUGGGAGAGAACUGAUGGAGUUGUGUGUCUACCUGCGGGGGAGGAGUCACAGUGUCAGUCAGUGAAUUACACACUGAGAAUAGCAGUUGAUUAUCAGGGUGUGAAAACAGGAAUAAAAUAGUAAAUACCAAAUCAGUAAUAGCUGUAGAUUUUUGUUUUAGGCUUUAAAAAAAACAGUGCUCAGCUGGUUUGCGGUGAUAUGUUUUUAUUUUGCUGCAUUUGUGCAAAUGUCCUCUAUAGUUUGUGUUAAUCAAUAAACAUUACUUUUUAUUGGAAUAUAUAUUCUACAUAAAACAUAGACAAAACAUUAUUUUAUUUCUUCCAGUUGCCUAUUUUUCAGAUAGAAGGCAUUUUUGCACACCUUAUCUCUUUUUGUUGAUAUUCAUAGGCACACGCACAAAAGACAAGAAACAUUACAAAACAAAAUGCCUCAAAAUAAGCAUAAUUUAUUGUCUUUCAUGAUUAAAACAAACGGUUCUCUUUGAGAGAAGACAA